rnacentral:rRNA from 1 species
GAUGAACGCUGGCGGCGUGCCUAAUACAUGCAAGUCGAGCGAAUGGAUUAAGAGCUUGCUCUUAUGAAGUUAGCGGCGGACGGGUGAGUAACACGUGGGUAACCUGCCCAUAAGACUGGGAUAACUCCGGGAAACCGGGGCUAAUACCGGAUAACAUUUUGAACCGCAUGGUUCGAAAUUGAAAGGCGGCUUCGGCUGUCACUUAUGGAUGGACCCGCGUCGCAUUAGCUAGUUGGUGAGGUAACGGCUCACCAAGGCAACGAUGCGUAGCCGACCUGAGGGGGUGGUCGGCCACACGGGGACUGAGACACGGCCCAGACUCCUACGGGAGGAAGCAGUAGGGAAUCUUCCGCAAUGGACGAAAGUCUGACGGAGCAACGCCGCGGGAGUGAUGAAGGCUUUCGGGUCGUAAAACUCUGUUGUUAGGGAAGAACAAGUGCUAGUUGAAUAAGCUGGCACCUUGACGGUACCUAACCAGAAAGCCACGGCUAACUACGUGCCAGCCGCCGCCGUAA